rnacentral:rRNA from 1 species
AACGUAGGAGACAAACGUUAUCCGGAGUUACUGGGCGUAAAGGGCGUGUAGGUGGUAUCGUAAGUCUGGCGUGAAAUUUCUCGGCUUAACCGAGGCAGGUCGUCGGAUACUGCGAGGCUAGAGGACGGUAGAGGCGUGUGGAAUUCCGGGUGUAGUGGUGAAAUGCGUAGAUAUCGGGAGGAACACCGGUGGCGAAGGCGGCGACCUGGGUCGACACUGACGCUGAGGCGCGAAAGCGUGGGGAGC